UGGGGAAUUUUGGACAAUGGGGGCAACCCUGAUCUAGCAAUGCCGCGUGUGUGAAGAAGGCCUUCGGGUUGUAAAGCACUUUUGUCCGGAAAGAAAUCCUUGGCUCUAAUACAGUCGGGGGAUGACGGUACCGGAAGAAUAAGCACCGGCUAACUACGUGCCAGCAGCCGCGGUAAUACGUAGGGUGCAAGCGUUAAUCGGAAUUACUGGGCGUAAAGCGUGCGCAGGCGGUUUGCUAAGACCGAUGUGAAAUCCCCGGGCUCAACCUGGGAACUGCAUUGGUGACUGGCAGGCUAGAGUAUGGCAGAGGGGGGUAGAAUUCCACGUGUAGCAGUGAAAUGCGUAGAGAUGUGGAGGAAUACCGAUGGCGAAGGCAGCCCCCUGGGCCAAUACUGACGCUCAUGCACGAAAGCGUGGGGAGCAAACAGGAUUAGAUACCCUGGUAGUCCACGCCCUAAACGAUGUCAACUAGUUGUUGGGGAUUCAUUUCCUUAGUAACGUAGCUAACGCGUGAAGUUGACCGCCUGGGGAGUACGGUCGCAAGAUUAAAACUCAAAGGAAUUGACGGGGUCAUAGCUGUUUCCU
rnacentral:rRNA from 1 species